rnacentral:rRNA from 1 species
CAGUCGCCACGGGAAUACGAAGGGGGCUAGCGUUGCUCGGAAUGACUGGGCGUAAAGGGCGCGUAGGCGGAUUGUACAGUCAGACGUGAAAUUCCUGGGCUCAACCUGGGGACUGCGUUUGAGACGUGCGAUCUAGAGUUUGGAAGAGGGUCGUGGAAUUCCCAGUGUAGAGGUGAAAUUCGUAGAUAUUGGGAAGAACACCGGUGGCGAAGGCGGCGACCUGGUCCUUGACUGACGCUGAGGCGCGAAAGCGUGGGGAGCAAACAGGAUUAGAUACCCCUGUAGUCCCUGUCUCUUAUAC